rnacentral:lncRNA from 1 species
GUGGAAUGACACAGCGUUUGUAGGGACCUCAGGCGGGUGGAAUGACACAGUGUUUGUAGGGACCUCAGGCAGGUGGAAUGACAUAGUGUUUGUAGGGACCUCAGGCAGGCGGAAUGACACAGUGUAGGGACCUCAGGCGGGUGGAAUGACACAGUGUAGGGACCUCACGCAGGUGGAAUGACACAGUGUUUGUAGGGACCUCAGUCGGGUGGAAUGACAGUGUUUGUAGGGACCUCAGGCGGGUGGAAUGACAGUGUUUGUAGGGACCUCACGCAGGUGGAAUGACACAACGUUUGUAGGGACCUCAGGCGGGUGGAAUGACACAGCGUUUGUAGGGACCUCAGGUGGGUGGAAUGACACAGUGUAGGGACCUCAGGUGGGUGGAAUGACACAGUGUAGGGACCUCACGUGGGUGGAAUGACACAGUGUAGGGACCUCAGGCGGGUGGAAUGACACAGUGUUUGUAGGGACCUCACACGGGUGGAAUGACACAGUGUAGGGACCUCAGGCGGGUGGGAUGACACAGUGUAGGGACCUCACGCAGGUGGAAUGACACAGUGUAGGGACCUCAGUCGGGUGGAAUGACAGUGUUUGUAGGGACCUCAGUCGGGUGGAAUGACAGUGUUUGUAGGGACCUCAGGCGGGUGGAAUGACAGUGUUUGUAGGGACCUCACACGGAUGGAAUGACACAGUGUUUGUAGGGACCUCAGGCGGGUGGAAUGACACAGUGUUUGUAGGGACCUCAGGCGGGUGGAAUGACAGUGUUUGUAGGGACCUCACGUGGGUGGAAUGACACAGUGUAGGGACCUCAGGCGGGUGGAAUGACACAGUGUAGGGACCUCAUGUGGGUGGAAUGACAGUGUAGGGACCUCAGGCGGGUGGAAUGACACAGUGUAGGGACCUCACGUGGGUGGAAUGACACAGUAUAGGGACCUCAGGCGGGUGGAAUGACACAGUGUAGGGACCUCACGUGGGUGGAAUGACACAGUGUAGGGACCUCAGGCGGGUGGAAUGACACAGUGUUUGUAGGGACCUCACACGGGUGGAAUGACACAGUGUUUGCAGGGACCUCACGUGGGUGGAAUGACACAGUGUAGGGACCUCAGGCGGGUGGAAUGACACAGUGUUUGUAGGGACCUCACACGGGUGGAAUGACACAGUGUUUGCAGGGACCUCACGUGGGUGGAAUGACACAGUGUAGGGACCUCAGGCGGGUGGGAUGACACAGUGUUUGUAGGGACCUCAGGCGGGUGGAGUGACACAGUGUUUGUAGGGACCUCAGGCGGGUGGAAUGUCAGUGUUUGUAGGGACCUCAGGCGGAUGGAAUGACACAGUGUAGGGACCUCACGUGGGUGGAAUGGCACAGCGUUUGUAGGGACCUCAGGCAGGUGGAAUGACACAGUGUUUGUAGGGACCUCAGGCAGGUGGAAUGACACAGUGUUUGUAGGGACCUCAGGCGGGUGGAAUGACACGGUGUAGGGAUCUCACGUGGGUGGAAUGACACAGUGUUUGUAGGGACCUCAGGCGGGUGGAAUGACACAGUGUUUGUAGGGACCUCAGGCGGGUGGAAUGACACAAUGUAGGGAUCUCACAUGGGUGGAAUGACACAGUGUUUUUAGGGACCUCACACGGGUGGAGUGACACAGUGUUUGUAGGGACCUCAGGCGGGUGGAAUGACAGUGUUUGUAGGGACCUCAGGCCGGUGGAAUGACACAGUGUAGGGAUCUCACGUGGGUGGAAUGACACAGUGUUUGUAGGGACCUAACGCGGGUGGAGUGACAGUGUUUGUAGGGACCUCAGGCAGGUGGAAUGACACAGUGUUUGUAGGGACCUCAGGCGGGUAGGAUGACACAGUGUAGGGACCUCACGCGGGUGGAAUGACAGUGUUUGUAGGGACCUCAGGCGGGUGGAAUGACACAGUGUUUGUAGGGACCUCACACGGGUGGAAUGACACAGUGUUUGUAGGGACCUCACGCGGGUGGAAUGACACAGUGUGGGGACCUCACGGGGGUGGAAUGACACAGUGUAGGGACCUCAGGCGGGUGGAAUGACACAGUGUAGGGACCUCACAUGGGUGGAAUGGCACAGCGUUUGUAGGGACCUCAGGCGGAUGGAAUGACACAGUGUAGGGACCUCAGGCGGGUGGAAUGACACAGUGUUUGUAGGGACCUCAGGCGGGUGGAAUGACACAGUGUUUGUAGGGACCUCAGGCGAGCGGGAUGACACAGUGUAGGGACCUCAGGCGGGUGGAGUGACACAGUGUUUGUAGGGACGUCAGGCGGCUGGAAUGACAGUGUAGGGACCUCAGGCGGGUGGAAUGACACAGUGUAGGGAUCUCACGUGGGUGGAAUGACACAGUGCUUGUAGCGACCUCAGGCGGGCGGAAUGACACAGUGUAGGGACCUCAGGCGGGUGGAAUGACAGUGUAGGGACCUCACGUGGGUGGAAUGGCACAGCGUUUGUAGGGACCUCAGGCAGGUGGAAUGACACAGUCUUUGUAGGGACCUCAGGCGGGUGGAAUGACAGUGUAGGGACCUCACGUGGGUGGAAUGGCACAGCGUUUGUAGGGACCUCAGGCAGGUGGAAUGACACAGUCUUUGUAGGGACCUCAGGCGGGUGGAAUGACACAGUGUAGGGAUCUCGCGUGGGUGGAAUGACACAGUGUUUGUACGGACCUCAGGUGGGUGGAAUGACACAGUGUUUGUAGGGACCUCAGGCGGGUGGAAUGACACAAUGUAGGGAUCUCACGUGGGUGGAAUGACAGUGUUUGUAGGGACCUCAGGCGGGUGGAAUGACACAGUGUUUGUAGGGACCUCAGGCGGGUAGGAUGACACAGUGUAGGGACCUCACGCGGGUGGAAUGACAGUGUUUAUAGGGACCUCAGGCCGGUGGAAUGACACAGUGUUCGUAGGGACCUCACGUGGGUGGAAUGACAGAGUGUAGGGACCUCACGUGGGUGGAAUGACACAGUGUAGGGACCUCAGGCGGGUGGAGUGACAGUGUUUGUAGGGACCUCAGGUGGGUGGAAUGACACAGUGUUUGUAGGGACCUCAUUCAGGUGGGAUGACGCAGUGUAGGGACCUCAGGCGGGUGGAAUGACACAGUGUUUGUAGGGACCUCACACGGGUGGAAUGACACAGUGUUUGUAGGGUCCUCAGGCGGGUGGAAUGACACAGUGUUUGUAGGGACCUCAGUCGGGUGGGAUGACACAGUGUAGGGACCUCAGGCGGGUGGAAUGACACAGUGUUUGUAGGGAUCUCACACGGGUGGAAUGACAGUGUUUGUAGGGACCUCACGCGGGUGGAAUUACACAGUGUAGGGACCUCACGUGGGUGGAAUGACACAGUGUUUGUAGGGACCUGACGUGGGUGGAAUGACACAGUAUAGGGACCUCACGCGGGUGGAAUGACACAGUGUUUGUAGGGACCUGACGUGGGUGGAAUGACACAGUGUAGGGACCUCACACAGGUGGAAUGACACAGUGUAGGGACCUCACGCGGGUGGAGUGACACAGUGUAGGGACCUCAGGCAGGUGGAAUGACACAGUGUAGGGACCUCACGUGGGUGGAGUGACACAGUGUAGGGACCUCACGCGGGUGGAAUGACACAGUGUUUGUGGGGACCUCACGUGGGUGGAAGGACAUAAUGACAUAGUGUUUGUCCACUUGUGUCUGGCAUAUUUCACUACACAUGAUGUUUCAAAGGCUCAGCCAUAUUGUAGCAUAUGUCAGAAUUUCAUUCCUUUUUUUGGCAGAAUUAGAUGUGGAUUUUUGAUGUAGGAGGUACGUUUCUAACCUACUUUUGUUUAUUUAAAAAAUUAUUGCUGGGCACAGUAUCUCACGCCUGUAAUCCCAGCACUUUGGGAGGCUGAGGUGAGUGGAUCACCUGAGGUCAGGAGUUGGGAGAUCAGCGUGGCCAACAUGGUGAAACCCCGUUGCUACUAAAAAUACAAAAAUUUGCUGGGCACAGUGGUGCAUACCUGUAAUCUCAGCUACUCAGGAGGCUGAGGCAGGAGAAUCACUUGAACCCGGGAGGUGGAGGAGGUUGCAGUGGGCCAAGAUUGCGCCACUGUGCUCCAGCCUGGGCAACAUAGCGAGACCCUGUCUUUACAAAAAGUGAAACAGGAAUCUCAGGGUUGUGUGUGUUUCUAAUAAAUGUUAAUAGAAGAUGAAUUUCAGGAACAAGUUAUUGGGAGAGAAACAUUAGCAGCUUUGUUUUGCUAAUAUGAUGGGCUAGGUUCAAGGAUCAUUUCCUAAAGUUUGAGAUGUGCUUUUCCCCUUUUGAUACCAGCUCUCAGAGUGAUGAUCGUUUCUGUAUAGGCAAGGGAAAUACUUGUCACUGCCUUCUUGCUAGUUUGACUGACUCUGAAAUACUUAAAGAUAGUUGUAUUUGUUGUUGCAUGUCUAGAUCUGCCACGGGGGAGAGGCCAGAGAGGCUUUGCUGACGUGCAGGGAGUGACCGGGGGAAUGUCCCAGCCUCACUUUGCAGGUGCAGUUGAGAAGGCACCAUGAGUAAAGGCGCUGCCCCACGCACCCAGGGUCCUAAGGCUUCGGCAGUUAAGAGUUCAUCCGUUGCCAUUUGAUGAGGGCUCUGGGAGUCAAAAGGCUUCCCUGAACAAGGAACCCUUGAGCUCAGAUGCAAAUGAGGGAUGGGCCUGGACCGGGAUGGGGGAUGGGAGGAGCCUGCAAAGGGGAGAGAGGGUGGGAGGACUUGACAUGGGAGAAGAACAGGCUGGGGCAAUGGGGUGUGAAAGCAAAGGGAGUAAGAUGAGCAUUUUGGUCUUUACUAAGGGCAGUGAGGAUUCAAAACAGCAUGGUUGGAUUUGAGUUUAAAAAAUAGAACUCACUGGCUGCAGUGUGCGGAGGUGGGCUGGAAUCCAUUUUUGCUCAGUUGGGGAGAGUGUAUUUUUAAUUUUCCAAAGUGACUAUGUUGGUGAUUGUGUCAGAGCCCCUGGCCUGUCGUUGGUGGUUAUAAAGCGCUUUUGAUUUGCCUGUAAAUCAGAGUCUACCAUGGCUCACAUAGUUAUUUGCAAAAAGAACUUCUAAGCAUGAAAUUGAGCAUAAAAUUGCCUAGGAGUAAUUCAGUUUGCUUAAUAUGUUUGAGAGAAAGGUUAAUAUAUUCAGUCAGACAGCCUUUUGUUUUUGGAUAAAGACGUUCUCAUUUUUCAGCAUGGCAUGAGGGAAAUAGCCUGGAAUAUUCUCAGUAAAUCAGAUUUUCCUUGAAAAGAGUGGCCCUACCUCUCAUAGACUUCAACGGCAGUGGUUUAAUAUGGUUCCCAAAUUCUGAAGUCUUCUGAAAUUUGUUAGACAAAGCAAGACUUAACGAUCACAGCAUGAUGCAAAUACUAAUUUUCCGAGUAAAACACAAUAAAAGAUUGACCGUUUCUCUCUCAUGUCAUUUACGUAUGUCUAUGACUGUGAGAACUAAAGUGGCCGUAUUUACAGUAAGGUAACUAUUGUUAAUGCUGAUGUAUUCUUGAGAAAUAAAAAGAGUGAAUGUUAAGUAUUCCUCAUCACAAAAAGGAGUUAUGUGGGCUAAUACAUUUGUUAAUUAGCUAAAUUUAAUUGUUCCACAAUGUAUGUAUACUUUAGACAUCAUGUUGUACAUGAUACAUACUUAUCUGUCAAUUGUUUUUUUUUUUUUUUUGAGACAGAAUCUCACACUGUCACCCGGGCUGGAGUGCAGUGGCUUGAUCUCAGCUCACUGCAGCCUCUGCCUCCCAGGUGCACACGAUUCUCCUGCCUCAGUCCCCCGAGUAGCUGGGAUUACAGGUGCACACCACC